GAAAGCACGACAUUGCUCACAUUGCUUCCAGUAUUACUUUUAUAGCCAGCCGGGUGCUGGCUUUUUUUU
rfam:Pluralibacter gergoviae strain JS81F13 contig_28, whole genome shotgun sequence.